GCUAAAUCAAAUCGUUGCUAGAAAUUUUACUUUAGCUGCAUGUUUGUGUGUUAUGUUUUAUUACGGAGGAAAAGGAGUGAAACAGAAUAUGGCUUUAGUCGUAGGACCUCCAGUUUCUACCUGAUGGGUAGGGGUCAAAUACCAAACUGUGAGAGGGUCCCUCUCUGAAACAAGUUAGUAAUAGAAAUGCAAUUCAUUGCAGAGAACUUUUUUUUUUAAGAGAGGGAGAUUCCACUUCAAUAUCUAUUUUUAUUUUAUUGGAUAUUAUUUUAAUCUCCCCUCAAAAUGGUUCGCCCAGCAGGGCAGAGAGAUCAAGAGCAUCAUGGCGGCGAUCUGAGGCGGUAGCACUCACCCUCACUGGAAACAGCCUCUGAAACCUUCCCCCUCCCAGGACAAUGCUCUUAAUUAGCCGCACCAUAUUUCUCAGAGAACAAAAGCUCCCCACCCCUCACAGGAAAAGCUUUUCCAGGAGAUAUCUCGUUGGGGAAGCGCCAGGCACACAACAGGGAGAGGAGAACAGACAGGCUGUUCUGGGCUCUGCAAAGAGACGCAAACUCUGGAUUCCCGCGGGAGCUACAGAGAUACUGUUAUGAAUGUAGAAUGAAGUAUUGGUAGAUUUCUUCAAACUCACUGAUUUUCAUUUUCCCUGAGGAUGACAAGGAUAUUAUGAAAAUGACAAUAGAAAAAUUUCCAUAAGAAUACUUAAUAAAAAAUAAAAAACCUGAUGCUUAAAGACACUUCCAAUUAUCUGAAAAAUUGAUACUAUGUAACAGUGAGAGACUUUAUUUUUUGGGGCUCCAAAAUCACUGCAGGUGGUGACUGCGGCCAUGAAAUUAAAAGAUGCUUGCUCCUUGAAAGAAAAGUUAUGACAAACCUAGACAGCUUAUUAGAAAGCAGAGACAUUACUUUGCCAACAAAGGUCCAUCUAGUCAAAACUAUGGUUUUUCCAGUAGUCAUGUAUGGAUGUGAGAGUUGGAUUGUAAAGAAAGCUGAGUGCUGAAGAAUUGAUGCUUUUGAACUGUGGUGUUGGAGAAGAGUCUUGAGAGUCCCUUGGACUGCAAGGAGAACCAACCUGUCAAUCCUAAAGGAAAUCAGUCCUGAAUAUUCAUGGGAAGGACUGAUGCUGAAGCUGAAACUCCAAUACUUUGGCCACCUGAUUUGAAGAACUCUCAUUUGAAAAGACCUUGACGCUGGGAAAGAUUGAAGGUGGGAGGAGAAGGGGAUGACAGAGGAUGAGAUGGUUGGAUGGCAUCACUGACUCAACGGACAUGAGCUUGAGCAAGCUCCGGGAGCUGUUGAUGGACAGGGAAGCCUGGCGUGCUGCAGUCCGUGGGGUUGCAAAGAGUCAGAUACAACUGAGCAACUGAACUAAACUGGAAUACUCAUUCAACAAUUCAGUGAUAAGCGUGUAUUAGGUGCCUAAAAGUUGCAUUGUGCAAAGUACAAACAUAAAGGAGAUUAAGAAAUGGGUGUUCUUUCAAGGAGCUCAAUUAAACAUUGCUUGCUUUAUGUAAAUCAACUAUAAUUCAAUACAAAAUUGCUCACUUUAUAUCUUGUAUAAAUACUUAUGGGAACUUCCUUGGUGGCUCAGAUGGUAAAGAAUCUGCCUCCGAGGCAGGAGACCUGAUUCGAUCCCUGGGUCAGGAAAGUCCCCUGGAGAAGGAAAUGGCAACCCACUGCAGUAUUCUUGCCUGGGAAAUCCAUGGACAGAAGAGCCUGGCAGGCUACAGCCCAUGGGGUUGGAAAGAGUCAGACACAACUAAGUGACUCUUACUUCACUUGAUA
ensembl:lncRNA